GCUUAAAAUACUUUAGGUCAAUAAGGCCAUAGUACGUCAAAACUAGUUUGGAAAUAUUUACUUCCUUAACUGUGAUUGUGGUUAGGAUUUAACUUGUUUUGUAAAAAUUUGGCUAUUACAGACCUCAGCUCCACUUAAAAUUGUUGAAAGGCAAAAACCAGAUGCUCUGACUGGCAAGGGAGAAAAACAGAUACUGAGGUAGAAGGCAUCAUUUCACCUGCUGAAAACAGUGUUUUCAUCAUGGAAGAAUCCAGAACAAAAAUAGACCAAGAGCACAAAGAGGAGAUUAAAUUCUCAGCUUUUCUUGAAGUCUUUUUGCGAUUAACACAGAAGUGUGGUUUCUCAGCUGGAUGCUCUCCAUGUCUGUGCCUGUCUUCCCUUUCCCAUCAGCUCAGCCAACCAGGCUGCAGCCGAGCUCCAUGA
rnacentral:lncRNA from 1 species